rnacentral:lncRNA from 1 species
UUAGAGAAGAUAGGUUGAAGAAAGAAGAGGUGUGCUGGAGACCAAUUAAAUCAGGUUAGAACUCUCAAAUUCAUUUGCUGGUUCACUCUGCCCGUGUUCUACAAAAGCCCUAGUUUCAGUUUGUGCCGUGGCUCAGCUUCCUCUCCUCAUCAUAGAAUGUUGGCUUCAUAUAAUCGUCCCCUAAUCUGCCCAGCCUCAGAAGAAAACAACUUAGCCUCCUUUAGCGACCACGGCAUAACCAUGUUCUCCAGCAAAACUGUUCGUGCAGAGCAAGCACAGCAUCCUUUGGAAGAUUAGUGAUUCCUCAAAAGAAGUCAGAAGACAGAUUUUCACAUUCAAUUCCAACCUGUGUGGUUUGAAGGCCGUGAAACUUUCAACAACAAUAUAAAUACUGCAUGUGUCUCUCUCUCCCGAGGCUGGAUUUUACCGACUGUUAUGUGAAAGGCCAACUGUAUAAGCAGGUGUAGGUCUGAGUUGAAAGGAUUUGAUGGCAUUAAUCUCCCUUUAAGAGGUCUUGUUUUCAUGGGCUGUUGUCAAACAUAACUGAGUCGUUCUGUGACUAUAACUGCAGUUAUCUGUCCCUUGUUAUAGAGAGUUGCCCUAGCUUUUGAGGGAAUUUCUGCAUGACUUUUCCAAAGAAUGUUUCGAUGUUCUCUAUAGGGAGAGGCAGUAUGGCAGUGUGAGACAAAUAUAGUCUCUGCGGGCAGGCAUACCCUGGAUUUAAAUGUUGGUUUGCAGGAUCUGUGUUGCUUCACUAAAUUCAUGAAAAUUCUCUGAGUCACAGCUUCCUGUAUACAAAAUGAGGACAAUAAUAGCUGAGGU